UCGGUGAUUAGCGCAGUUGGUAGCGCGUCUGGUUUGGGACCAGAGGGUCACAGGUUCGAGUCCUGUAUCACCGACCAC
rnacentral:tRNA from 1 species